rnacentral:miRNA from 1 species
GACGCACGAUAUCUUGGUCU